CCUACGGGGGGCAGCAGUGAGGAAUAUUGGUCAAUGGACGCAAGUCUGAACCAGCCAUGCCGCGUGAAGGAUGAAGGCCUUCUGGGUUGUAAACUUCUUUUAUCUGGGAAGAAACCUCUGAUUUCUAUUAGAGUUGACGGUACCAGAGGAAUAAGCACCGGCUAACUCCGUGCCAGCAGCCGCGGUAAUACGGAGGGUGCAAGCGUUAUCCGGAUUUACUGGGUUUAAAGGGUGUGUAGGCGGGCUAUUAAGUCAGCGGUGAAAUCUCCGAGCUUAACUUGGAAACUGCCAUUGAUACUAUUAGUCUUGAAUUUUGUUGAGGUAGGCGGAAUAAGUCAUGUAGCGGUGAAAUGCUUAGAUAUGACUUAGAACACCAAUUGCGAAGGCAGCUUGCUAAACAAAUAUUGACGCUGAGGCACGAAAGCGUGGGGAUCAAACAGGAUUAGAUACCCUAGUAGUC
rnacentral:rRNA from 1 species